rnacentral:rRNA from 1 species
GACGUAGGGCGCGAGCGUUGUCCGGAAUUAUUGGGCGUAAAGAGCUCGUAGGCGGCCUGUUGCGUCCGCUGUGAAAGCCCGGGGCUUAACCCCGGGUCGGCAGUGGAUACGGGCAGGCUAGAGGUAGGUAGGGGAGAAUGGAAUUCCCGGUGUAGCGGUGAAAUGCGCAGAUAUCGGGAGGAACACCGGUGGCGAAGGCGGUUCUCUGGGCCUUACCUGACGCUGAGGAGCGAAAGCGUGGGGAGCGAACAGG